CUUAUUAAGUAUACUCGAUUUUGGAUUAGAGAGUGUGACGUGUCGACACAUGAUUGGAUAAAGAGUUUUAUUGAGCAAUUAUUAUUUUUUGGCAUUGUGUUCUUUCUCUUCCUCUCUCUCUCGCAAAUCUCUCAAUCGGAGGAGAUUUAAUCAGUUGAAAUCGUUGGAGAUAGAAUCGGAGAAGACUGGAAUCCAAGGAGAUUGAACUGGAAUCGGGUCUUGUUCCCGGAUUGAAUCCUGGUCAGUAUGAGGAACACAUGAACCGUGGAGCUGGGAUCUAUGUUGUUCCUGUACAAAAAUGAACCUAUUUGUUGGGUUUGAUUAGAACAAUUUUCUGUGUAGCUUUCUUAUUGUCUCAAAAAAUUGUGCAAGCUUCAUUGUUUUGCUAAUGAUUGUUGUUCUGAUUUAGCUGCUCAGUUGGAAAUCGUUGGCUUGUUACAAAAGUUUUGAUAUGUUUUUGUUCAUUCUUUGUUAGGGUGUACUGGUUUUAUUUUGUUGCAGGCUUGGCUUGAUAUAUUGGUAAGUCUUGUUUUGCUUAGCUCUGUUGCAGACAAGGCUUAACAAAUUGGUAGAGACUUUCACACCUCUUGCUCCUUGUUCUGCUUAGUUGAAGCUCUCCUGCAGCCUACACAGGCUCUGAUGCAGUUCUAGCUGCUGUUUGGCUUGUCUCGUUUUGCAUAUUAGUUAUGUUUAAAAGUAAUCUAUUAUUAUUCACGGAGACAUGAGAUUUCGGAUAAGUAGUAGUUCUACUUUGGUUCAGGAUAUAAUUAUCUCUGCAUCAGUGCAUCUCAUUCUCUGUGUUUUUUUUUUUAUUAUUAUUAUUGUGUUGCUUUCAAACUUAGCGAUUUGUAGACCUCUGAAAACAUAUGAUAUCUCUGAUGGCGAGUUAUAACAAGCUCUACUAAAUCAUUCAUUCUAAUGUUGUGUUGUUAUCUGCAGAUAUUCCAUCGCUGAAGGUAAGGCCUUUAGAGCUACCAGAAUCUCAUGUGUGUGUGUUGUUGUUCUUUGAAAUCUAAAUGGACUUGGUGAAUUUUUAUCCAAUGCAGGCUAAAAAAUAGGUGAUCAAUCAACCCCUAGAAGAUGCAUUGUUGGAGUUAUCCAAACUGAAGAAAUCAGAAUGAUGAGCAGACGGCUGCAGUGAAUUGUUCAUUGCUAGGAGUAGUUUCCAACUAAACUCAAAUCAAGAGACUCAAAAUUAUAACCCACCAUUGGAGGGGAAAAUUUUAAUUAGGAAUCCUAAAGUUCUUAUUCUACUAAAAGUACAUAAUAUAGUAAUUAAAAAUUAUAAGAGCUCCAAAAAUAUAACCCCCAUUGUGGAUGCCCUAAGGAUUGAAAAUGGGGAAAAUUCCCUUAAAAAAAAAUCAACUAUUUUUUAUUUGGAAAAAAACUAUACGAACAUUUGACAUUUCUAACAAAAUAUAACAAUUAAAUUUUCCAUC